rnacentral:rRNA from 1 species
CCCCGAGCUAUCAAUAAGCGGAGGACUUGGUCAUUUAGAGGAAGUAAGCAUAUCAAUAAGCGGAGGAGCAUAUCAAUAAGCGGAGGACUUGGUCAUUUAGAGGAAGUAAGCAUAUCAAUAAGCGGAGGACUUGGUCAUUUAGAGGAAGUAAGGCAUAUCAAUAAGCGGAGGAGGACUUGGUCAUUAUAGAGGAAGUAAGCAUAUCAAUAAGCGGAGGACUUGGUCAUUUAGAGGAAGUAAAAGUCGGUAACAAGGUUUCCGUAGAGUGAACCUGCGGAAGGAUCAUUAAAAAAAGAGAAACGUCCCGUUCUUUUUCAUAAGAAUGGGUUCUAUUCCCUUAAACCGUGUCUACAUACCUUUGUUGCUUUGGCAGGCCGCCUUCGGGCGUCGGCUCCGGCUGAUAGUGCCUGCCAGAGGACCCAAACUCUAUGUUUAGUGAUGUCUGAGUACUAUAUAAUAUUUAACACUUUCAACAACGGAUCUCUUGGUCCUGGCAUCGAUGAAGAACGCAGCGAAAUGCGAUAAGUAAUGUGAAUUGCAGAAUUCAGUGAAUCAUCGAAUCUUUGAACGCACAUUGCGCCCCUUGGUAUUCCGAGGGGCAUGCCUGUUCGAGCGUCAUUAUAACCACUCAAGCCUGGCUUGGUAUUGGGGUUUUCGCGUGUUCGCGGCCCUUAAAAUCAGUGGCGGUGCCGUCUGGCUCUAAGCGUAGUAAUUUCUCUCGCUAUAGGGUUCCGGUGGUUACUUGCCAAAACCCCCCAUUUUUUCUAGGUUGACCUCGGA